CAGUAAUGGAACUGUGGCUCAAGUGGUAGAGCACCACCUUGAGCAAAAAGGCGAAGGGACAGCACUGAAUCCCUGAGUUCACGCCUCAGCUUUGGCACAAAAGGAAGAGGUGAGUUACGGCUGACAUAGUCGGUGUUCAAUAAUCCAUCCACUUAGUAAACUAAACUUCACUCUUAGAGCCAAGGAGGGAGGGAUGCACCCCAACACCAGCCACAGACUGCAGACUCUCCAACUGCAGAAAGAAAAACUGCGGCUCAGGGGCACCAGAUGCUCACACUGCUUUAACACAACCUGCUUGUCACCCUCACUGCGUAAAACGUGUACUUGGUGCUGAAAGCAUGGCUCAGUGGCAGAGCACCCGCCUAGCAAGUGCAAGGCCUGGAGUUCAAAUCCUAGGUUUGUUUUGUUUGUUUAAGUGGAUUUAUUUGGCUAACUCCUGGAAUAAUGGCAGGAUGAAUGUUCUGUGAAAUCCAAGAAGUAGGAACUGGUGGCAACAGAACUAUUCCCCAGUUCAUCUCACUCCACCUCACCACUGCCAGGACAACGCUGGGCACUCUGGGUUGGCACUGGAAUCCAACCCCAGGCCUGCCUUCUUGAUUGGCUCCCCACCUCCCAGGCUUCCCAUGGGAACAGGCUCAAGGUCAAGGUGACAGUCUGCCAUCUCCUCAGAGCCAGAGGUCUUGAGGGAACAGCGAAACGGCCCUGGGCAAAGGUCAAAGAGGAGGAAGGUUCGGGAAAACAAGUGGCCACUACUGGACUUCUAGAACAGCAGCAUUCCAGAGUCCUGAGCUCGGGGCUCCGUGGGGACAGGCUGGAUCAACAGACCUGCUCAAGGACAGAAGGCCACUCACCUAGGGAAAGAUCAUGGCGCAAUACAGAGCACAGAGCGAGCGAGAGCCAGCCAUUGGUCGUCCUGCCUCAGGGGCAGUGCGAGGCAGCUGCUCGGUCCACGAGAGGCCUCACGGGAGCUGGACAGAAAUGGACAGCUAUGACUCCCUAAGCCGCAUCCCACAGGGCGUGUGGGUGACACUGCGGGGGCUUCCUUUGAAGCCUAUGGCGUUGGCCCUGGGCUCAUUCUACAAGGACCCCAGCCGUAGCACCUUCUCUUAGAUGGCGCCUGGGAGCUUUCCUCUCCUCUCUGAAGGAGGAUCAGGCACACAUUUCGAUCACUUCACAAGGCAGGACUUCAGGAAAUUGCCAGCCUGCCCUGGCCACCUCCUCUGCCACCUGUCUGGGUCCCUCCAUCAUCCUUGAGCCACGCCCCAGCCUGGGAAGUACGUCUGUGUGUAAUUCAGAGGCACAUGUAAUUCUGCAGUAUAUGCCUAGCAAUAGGUAUAGGGUGGAUUUUCUGCUGUUGCCAGGUGGCAGUUGGGGUGCUUAGCAACCCCCAAGGUCCCCGACUAAGCCUUGCAGUGAGAUCCCACGGGAAUCACAACAAACAACUCAAGAUCUGUCUUCCAGGCCUUGGGCUCCAACCUAACAGGCCCACAGAGCUGAGGGCCGGCUGGAGAAAGACCCCAGAUCCACCCCAACCCUGGUCCCCU